CAGUGAAAUGUGAAUCAAACAGUGCCCUGCAAACUGACACUCUAGAUGAAGCAACGAGCCUGAGCUGCUGAAAGCAAAGGGAAGAGGCUACAACUCCUUAAAUUUGCUCUUAUCUGAUUGCCCUUCCAAAAGGUUUCAGUAUCCUGAACCAUCUGAUCUCACCUAGUAAAGCCGCAGCACGUCAAUUGAUCAGCCUUCUCCUCUUUGUUCUCAGGCAGCGUUCACCGAGAUGCUAAGCUGUAUUAGCUUUGGAUACAUUGAUACAGACAAGAAAUGUCGUGUGCAGACGAGGAGGCGGUCUGCGGGGAGGCAGGGACAGCCCGUCCAUCGCCCAUCACCCGGGCACGGUCAUGAUGCUCCCGUGGGGAAUCACAGCACCCCCAGCAGACAUUAAACCUCAGCCACGUUAAGAUAGGGACUUUGGAGAACUCACCCAACCCUGCUGAGACCAAAGGCUUAACCAGAAACUGUUGGUCCUUAAAAAGGUUCUCAUUUCUUCUCUGAGCUAAAAAUUGCUUCUCACAGCUCAAAUUCCAAGUGAGUGAAUAAAAUGCAGAGUGUAUGAACACUUUGAUGUAAGAAAAAAGUCUUUAUUUUUAGAGCGGAGAAAGACCUGUGGAUGAGACAAGCAAGCACCUUUGGAGGAUGCUGAUGCUGCGGCUUGCUUUACAUGGGUGGAAGAUGCAGCUCACCACCUUUAUCUCUCAUGAUGGUAACUUGAAUGCAGGAAGCCACAUGUCUCUCCCCAGAUUUCAUUAAGUGACUCUGAAUUGGAAAGCUGAUCUUUUCCUAAAGCUGGCACCAUUUUCUGUAUUGAAACAAAAGAAGAAUUAAUCAGGCUAUUGGAAGCCGAGACUAGGUAUACUCAAAAACCUACAUAGCUUUUCAAUGGGAUGGGAAAGAGGAUGGUUUUGGCCAGGCUGCAGAACACAUUUUUCUUGUAACCAGAAUCCUGGCAAGCUAUUUUGCUGUGUGAAUACCUUUACCAUUGAGAAAACACAAUGAAAAUCAAGGUCAUGGUGUGGUUUAGGUUUCCUGCAUGAAAAACCACCAUCCUGUAGGUCUCAGCUUAUCAUCAACCUGUGCAUGAGGCUCAGGAGCUACCCUAGCGGCUCAUUUCAUGCAGUUGCAGGCCAAUUCAGCUUCUCAGCCGUGGAUUUUUAUCUUCUCUGUGAGUCGAUGUUCUGCUAUUAGCCAGCCAAGCUGCUGCUUUGCCACAUUGUCCCCACAAGCUGCAGGCGGGACCAUCACCAGCUCAAGGCUCCAUAACAACAUUUGAAGGUGACCUUGCACCCAUCCCUCCUGUCAAGUGAAUGCAAUAUUUCUCUUUUCCAAAGUAGUGUUCUGUAGCUUAAAGGAUUGAUAUAAAACCCUCCAACAGUGACGUGAGAGACACUGGAUUGGGUCCUGAAUUGCACAAUCAAGUCCAAGAUGUUUUGCGGUGCCCCAUCACCUGGUUACCCACAUCCUCAUGGUCUUUGCUUCCCAAAAUGAACCAUUCUUGCCUGACCCAGACAAAACCAAGACAAUAAGGAAAAAGAUCCCUUCAGUUUUGUAGUCCUUUAUUUUUUUUUUUUUAAGUUGAUCCUCCCAUAGUAAUGUACUGAAAUGCGUAACAGUUACAUUGUACAAAGCAUUUAAAGAAAGUACCUCAACUUGCCGAUUAUUCCAAAAUGAGAUUAUAAACAAAAGGAAAAAUAAAUCUGGUCCCUCACUAAAGGCCAAAAAAAAAAAAAAAAACAAAAAAAAAACCAAAUAA